rnacentral:rRNA from 1 species
UACGUAGGGGGCUAGCGUUGUCCGGAAUCAUUGGGCGUAAAGAGCGUGUAGGCGGCCCGGUAAGUCCGCUGUGAAAGUCGGGGGCUCAACCCUCGAAUGCCGGUGGAUACUGUCGGGCUAGAGUGCGGAAGAGGCGAGUGGAAUUCAUGGUGUAGCAGUGAAAUGCGUAGAGAUCAUGAGGAAGACCAGUGGCGAAGGCGGGUCUCUGGACAGUUCCUGACACUGAGGCACGAAGGCCAGGGGAGCAAACGGG